UACGAAGGGGGCUAGCGUUGCUCGGAAUCACUGGGCGUAAAGGGCGUGUAGGCGGCCAGGUAGGUCUGCUGUGAAAACUCGAGGCUCAACCUCGAGACGUCGGCGGAAACCAUCUGGCUAGAGUCCGGAAGAGGAGAGUGGAAUUCCUGGUGUAGCGGUGAAAUGCGCAGAUAUCAGGAAGAACACCAAUGGCGAAAGCAGCUCUCUGGGACGGUACUGACGCUGAGACGCGAAAGCGUGGGGAGCGAACAGG
rnacentral:rRNA from 1 species